rnacentral:lncRNA from 1 species
UGGUAGGAAAUUGGGUGGUCUUAGGGUUCUGAACUCCUACUGGAUCAAUGAGGUUUGUUAUAAAAUAAAACUUGUGCAAUGUAUGUGGCUUCAAUUGAUCAAAAUUUGUAAUAUGUUUACAAUUUUUCUAUUUCUUUUUUAAAUUUUGCUUUCAGUUUAUCUUAUCAAUAGCUGUAGACAAAGAGAGCCAAUUAUCUUUCAAAAGAAAGCUAUAUGGCCAUGUUGUGAGAUUUUGUUGUCAUUUGAUAUGAAUCAACUUUCGCGAUAGUAAUGCUGUAUAUCUUUAUCUGUCCUUGCAGGAUUCCACAUAUAAGUACUAUGAGAUAAUCUUGGUUGAUCCUGCUCACAAUGCAGUUCGAAAUGAUCCAAGAAUCAAUUGGAUCUGCAAUCCUGUUCACAAGCACAGAGAACUCCGAGGACUUACUUCAGCUGGAAAGAAGUACAGAGGCCUCCGUGGCAAGGGACACUUGCACCACAAGGCAAGACCUUCAAGGAGGGCAACUUGGAAGAGGAACAACACACUGUCUCUACGUCGAUACCGUUAAACUUAGAGAACUUAGUAUUUUGUGUUUCAGUUUUGUUUUGGACAUUUAUUUCUGUUGAGAGGAUUUUGCACACCGAGGCAACUAAGUCCCGAUGUUUUUGUUGAACAUGAGUGAACUAUUGAGUUACUUGCUGUUAAAAUUUGUUUCUAGAUUUAUUCUAGGUUAAAAUAUAUGCCAUGUCUUUCUGUGGGUUUUCAAUCUAAUGUAGGGGUGAUGAAAAUUUUUUACUACGGUCUCUGCACCUUUGCAUCUAUUUUCUUCUAUGAUCAUGUGUAGAUGGUUUUUUCUCCUGCUUUGCUUCGUUUAUUGCUUUCUAAUGUCAUCAGUUUUAGGCAGACUGUAGGAGAUUCAUUUUAGGCCUUUUUGAGUUCUGACCAACUAGUUUCUGGUUAAGGCAGAAGCAUCGGUAUCUCUUGUCUUUGCAAUGCAAUAUUUUGUGUACGAGGAGAUUUCCUGUCAAGUUACAGUGUUUUUCUGGGUUAUUUGUUCCUAGUAAAAUUCCUGUAAUUUGAAUUGAUAGGAAUGUUUUACAAAUUUUAUUAUUUGAUUUGUUGGACAUGGAGAUGAUGAAUCUCGGAACAUUAGGAUAAGAAUUGGAGAAGAUCAUUCUGCAACCGAACAGGGAUCUUUUUCUUCCUUUUAAAUUUACAAAAUUCAUUUGUUCAGAACUAUUGUUGGUAUAGGUGAAUCCACAUAUCAAUGAUAAAAAGAUAAUCCUCUUUCUUGGUUAAUUUUCUUGUUGGCAUCAUAAAACUCUUUCUUCCUUUAAAGAAAAAAAAAGGAAAAAAACUCUUUUCUUGUUUUCUUUUUCUAAAUAUUUUUGCUUUUUUUUUAAAUAAUGUUUGUUAUUUUGAUAAGUUUCGACGUACCAGGAGAACACGUGUAGAAGAUGACUGAAUAAAAAAGAAAAUUUGAACAAAUGGGAUGGGCGAAGAUCGUAUGGCUGUUCCCUAACUAGUUAAUAAUAACAGUUGAAUUUUGUGUAUUUAAACUUCAUUCUUCACCAAUAAAAAAUCACAUUUGAAUUGUAAAAAAUUUGUGAUUUUUUUUCGCUCAAAAGAUUAAAUCUUAGCUAAAUUUAUAAGUUUUUAACUGAGAAUUAAUAUUAGUAUCAGAGUCAUGACUACCGAUAAAGAAAGAAUAUAAAACUUGGAAAUCAAUUUGAGAAUGUUACAUGACCAUUUGAGCAGAAUGGAUGUGGGUUUCGUUAACAAAUUCCACUAGCUCGAGGACACCCUUCGACGGCUCACGGCCACUUUGGUGUUAAACAGAGAAGGAUCCAGCAGUAAUGCUCCAGGUCAACCUGGCCAAACGCAACCAAACCGAAACGACAACACGAAGAAAAGCAAUGAUGGCCAAUCACUUUUAUACUCCGAUACAAAGAGAUUUGCUUUCGCAAGAGAUAUAUGGAGAUCUUUUACACAUGGAGAGGGAGGCAUUAAGGAAGAUGGUAACCUCUAGAUUGAUAGAAUUGAUGAAAUGAUGUUAUUUCUAAAUAAUUUUUUGUGAGUUUAGAUGAUGCUUAGAUGCAGACUAUUGGUACUAAUGAUAAUACAACAGAGGUGUACGAGAUUGACAUGGAGAAAUUGAAAAAUCUCAUCACUUUAACAGAUUUCCGUUGACGAUUUUCUAGCGUCCUGCCUUGAUAGUAUGAGUUGGAACUUGCAUCAAGAAUUUAUUCUUAAAGUGCUUAGAACUCCAUAUGUUUUGAAUAGGGAAUUUGAGUGCAACUUAAAUGCAUAAACUUACUAUUUCACCAUUGAAGCACCUUGUAAGCGCUCCAUAAUUGAUUGGACUUGGAGUAUUUGCGAGAAGAUGCUCGAUGCAGGGACUUAUCAGCUGAUUGAUAUAUAUCUCCGCCAACUUAUUUUGAUCGGUGUGGUUUUGAUAACGGCAUUGGUAUGGAUGAUGGCGACGGCGGCCAUCAUGGAUGGAAGCUUUGGCAAUGAGAAAGUGGUUCCUCAAGGGGAUAAAGAGAUGACGAGAAAAAAACUUACUGAGUGAUGGGUUUUGGAUUUUUUUUAUAGCUCUGUUACUUCAAAAUUUUAACAAAGCCACUUUAUUAACUCGAUAGCUCAAAAGUAUAAACACGUCCUGGUCCCUCCUUUAAUGAAUUCAUUGUCAUAGUUUCCAACAAGUCAAACUCGACCAUACAAUAUUUUUAUAUUAUUUCUAUUAAUUUUUUUUUAUAGAUGCUACAUCCAUAAAAAUAUAAAAGAUGCUAAUAUUAGUAAAUAAAAUAUAUUAAAAAUUGUUAUUGCUAUUGAAUUCAUAUAUAAAAAUAAUAAAAAAAAAUUAUCAUAAAUAUAAAUAUUGAUAUAUAUUUAAAUACUGAUUAAAACACCUAGAUUUAAAAUCGAAGACCUCGUAUUGGAUCAAUUUCAUCAUUGAUGGAGUAGUUUUGAUGUAGAGUAAUAACAUAUAGGUUAUGUUAGAUAAAUAAACAUUGCUUGUAUUUGGAUUUCACUAUCUCUAAUUUUUUUUGUUUAUGAAUACAAUGUUUGUGGUUUUAGUCAAGCAUGAGCUCCCGGUAUUGGACAAGAUGGUAAUGGUGAGAAGCUUUGCUUGAUGAAUGAAGACAAUAUAUAAAAACUAUGGGAGGCUACACAAAGAAUGAUGAGGGAUAAAAUUUGCAAACUAUGAGACAAAUAAGGUAGAGAUCAACAUUUUACGUGAUGGAGUCUCGAGAUCGAUGAAACCAUAUAUUCAAUUUUUUGUGCGAGAGAAAAAAUGUGGUUUGAAAAAGAUGUAAGUCUUAAAUAAGAUGAAAACUCUGAGAAUUAAGAGUUUUAAAUUUUGUGUUUGAGUGUUAUAUAUAAUCAACAUGACAUGAACAUAACUCAAUGGUAGUUAAAAAACUAUAUAUGUUUUUAACAAGCACGUAAUAUUUAGUCCCGAAUUGUGUUAAAAAAAAAAAAAUAACAAUUAGUAUGAAUAAACAGUGAGGAUUUUAUUUCUUAAAAAGCGUCGGCCCAAUAACCAACGUCAAUUGGGCUCUAUGAUCUAGUUGGGACCAGAAACAGGACGGCCACUGUGAUCAGGUUUCAAGGGUACUUUCGUCUUUUCAGGAAGGACUUUCGUUUGUCUAAACCCUAAUCGAGACUCCGAAGAGAUAUAUCAUCACGCUUCGCACUUCCUCAGCCGAAACUGCAGAGCACGGGAGCUCAACAAUGGGUACGCUGUUCUUGUUUNNNNNNNNNNNNNNNNNNNNNNNNNNNNNNNNNNNNNNNNNNNNNNNNNNNNNNNNNNNNNNNNNNNNNNNNNNNNNNNNNNNNNNNNNNNNNNNNNNNNNNNNNNNNNNNNNNNNNNNNNNNNNNNNNNNNNNNNNNNNNNNNNNNNNNNNNNNNNNNNNNNNNNNNNNNNNNNNNNNNNNNNNGGGCUACAAGGCCAAGCAGGUAAUUUGAUUUGAAGGUUAUUAUGGAACUAACUUUGAUUCGAGUCCUGACAUUUACAUUAUCACAUGGCACAUAAACUUAAUCUGUCAUGAUAUUUAUCAAUGUGGUUGUAGUUUGUGGAUUACCACUCUAAAAUGAAUGGAUCAAAUAGUGUUUUACAAGGAGAAAGAUCAUAAGUUAAUAAUGUGUAAAAAAGUAGUUUCAGUUUUUAUUUUUUAAUUAAUAUGUUUCAUUGCAAAAGUGUCUAAGUCAAUUAUGAAUAACACAAAUGUCAAUUAAUGGAGUUUAAAAAUUUUUAGAUAUUAUUUUUAGUCUUUUUAGAAAAUUAUUUUUGUUUGUGUUUGAUUAUCCUACAAGAACACCUCUUAUGUAUUUUCAUGAUGGAAAAAUUGCAUAAAUGCAUGGGAAUUUGAAAAGUAAAAGGUAGAAACUUUUUGAAACCCAAAUAGAGGCUAAGUCUCUAUUUGGAAUCCCCUUUGGUGUAUGAGUACAUAUUAAUCUAGAACUAUAAAACAUUGUACUAAAUGGAGACUUCUUGUUUUCUUUUUUAACUUACUACUGCUAUUGGACAAUGCAAAAGUUUGAACAACUGCUCCGUGAAUUUAGACUGGAGUGGUAUUGCUUGGAGUUUGUGAUGUAAUUUGCCUUUGUGGGAUUUAGUCUUGUUGCUGUAUUCGGUUUUGAUUGCUCCAAUGUACAUUGUUUCAGUUCUAUAAACAAGAACAGAGUGUUGUUUGUUCCUCAUAGUUUUUGUUGCUCUAAGUGACCAGUUAUUGGAGUUAUGGACUUUGGCUUUGUUGACACUCUUUACAGGGUUAUGUGAUUUAUCGUGUGCGUGUAAGGCGUGGUGGACGUAAGAGGCCAGUUCCCAAGGGUAUUGUGUAUGGGAAACCCACAAAUCAGGGUGUUACCCAACUGAAAUUCCAAAGGAGCAAGCGUUCUGUUGCUGAGGAACGUGCUGGUAGGAAAUUGGGUGGUCUUAGGGUUCUGAACUCCUAUUGGAUCAAUGAGGUUUGUUAUAAAACAAAAUUUGUGCAACCAAUGUGGCUUCAAUUAAUCAAAAUUUGUAAUGUGUUUGCAACUGCUUUUUUUUUUAAAAAAAAAAAAAAACUUUGCUUUCAGUUUCUCUUAUUGAGAGAUGUAGAUAAAGAGAACCAAUUAUCUUUCAUCUAGGGCCAAGUUGUGAGAUUUUGUUAUUGUUUGAUAUGAAUAAAUUUUCCAGAUAGUGAUGCUGUAUAUCUUUGUCUGUCCUUGCAGGAUUCUACAUAUAAGUACUAUGAGAUAAUCUUGGUUGAUCCUGCUCACAAUGCAGUUCGAAAUGAUCCAAGGAUCAAUUGGAUCUGCAAUCCUGUUCACAAGCACAGAGAACUCCGAGGACUUACUUCAGCUGGAAAGAAGUACAGAGGCCUCCGUGGCAAGGGACACUUGCACCACAAGGCAAGACCUUCAAGGAGGGCAACUUGGAAGAGGAACAAUACACUGUCUCUAUGUCGCUACCGUUGAACUUAGAGAACUUAGUAUUUUGUGUUUCUGUUUUGUUUUGGGAUACUUAUUUCUGUUGAAAGGAUUUUGCACACCAAGACAACUAAGUUUC